AACACGCUGACAGAGUUAUUCCUCCGUAAUCCCCCGAGUCGGCCAAAGAGCAUCCCUAUAAGUAGGGGCUACCCUACUUACAACCAAUCCCUAAUGCUGCGAACCCCGCUUUUAAUAAAGAGUGCAAGCGGCUACAACAUCGAACUAGACCUUCACCACCUUGGUGUCCAUUACUUUUCCAACCACCUUCUACAUACAGCAAAUGGUACUGGUUUUCCAUUUAUGGGUGAUGAAGAAGAAAGAGCGUCCGGAAGGAAAUUCACCAAACCACUAAAAGCGAUUCCCCCCUAGGGAAGGGGCUUGCGGGCUGGGGGGAAAACAUUCACUUUUUACUUCAAACCCACCUGGAUUAUUUGAAUGUCUGUGUUGCAUAGAAAUUAACCCUUUGUCUGACAUAUAAGUUAUAUUUUCCCUCCUUUAGUCAUGUAUGUACUGCCUUUGUGACAUCUUUGGCAUGGAAAAGUUUUUUAUUUCACAGAGUAAAAAAAAAAAAAUCAAUCUUUUCUUUAUAGCUUUUGGGUUUGCAAUCCUGAUUAGGAAGUUCUCAGCCCCUAGAUUGUAUGUGCAGUAUCAUAAAUUUCUUGCAAGACUAUUGCUAUUGUUUUAUUACUUGUAAGACUUUAAUCCUUCCAGAGUUUAUUUCUGUAUAUGCGGGAUGAUUGGUUCCAUUUCUCUUGCAUUUGUCAAUGGAUCCAUCCUUCCUCCUCGAAAGUGAACCAGCACACCGGCUGUCUGUGGAGAUGGCCCCUGAGUUACACCAGCACGUACCACUUCACGCAUCAAGGUGCCUGUUCUCCCACCAAUACUGACUUUAUGGGGUCCUUAGAGCACGUACUAGUAUCUGGAGGGGGAAAGGAGUGCUCUUUCUUAUACACCAAGAAUGAAGAUAUGCCAGCAUUUGAAACAGAACGUGGCUGCGGGUUCAUCUGGAACGAGGCCCUGGUCCCCCAACCCCCCCUCCGGGGGCUUUCCCUGAACUUCCUUCACCGGGAAGGCAGGGGAUGGGAGGAUGGAGCCCCAGACUCCAGAAGCCCCACAUCUGGCGCCCAGUCCCCUCCUGCAAAGUCGCCUUCAGACAAGCUAACACAUUGUGCGGGAGCAGGAUUGUGACCCAGAACUUUACAACCCCGUUCCUGGCUGGGAGCUGGGUACCCUUGCUAGAAGCCUGUGGACAGGGCACUGCCUUGAACAUGAAUCAGCUCUGACCGCAGCUCCAACUGCAGAGAGCCCAGGAUGGAGCAUGUGUUCUCUCUCCGAGGGUCUGCAGGGCUUGGGAGGCCCCCAGCCAACAGAACGCAUGGACAGCGAGGAAAACAUCCACUACAUGGAUAAAAAUAGGGGGUCAAGGCCCCUGAGUGCUCACGGGGCCACACAGUGUCCUAUGCCAGAUGCUGCACACUAACCACAUCCCCCAUUUCAUGGAGAAGCCUCUAGAAAGCUUCACUCUCAUCCACAUCCACAAGGCUCCAGAGCAAUUGGGCUGAACGCUGCUCCACACCCAGACCACUGCUCUGUGCAGGACCAAAGCCAUGAGGGCUGGCAGCACCCUGGAAGAAAACAUGCAACGUCCCUGGGCUCCUCCCUGACUAUGUGGACAUUUAUGAACAAAGGCACUGACUGCCAGCAUAUAUAUAAGAACAAAACUGGCUGAGACUGACUUGCCGUCCUAGAAGCAAAGGAGAUAUAAUUCCAUUGAUGCCAGGAGCCAGCAGCAUUCAAUGGACGAAACAAAAUAAUGACAGUCAUUCUUUCAACAUGUUCCCACAUCAAAUCUAGUAUGUGUUCACCCAUCACUGUUGUUUGAAAUAUGCCCAACCUUAACCCUAACCAAUAACCCUAACCCUAAGACCUAACCAUAACUCUAAUCCUUAACCCUAACCCUAAACCUAAUUCCUAACCUAACCCCUAACCCUAAUCUUUACCCUAAACCCUAACUCUGACCCUACCCCUUACCCUGACCCUACCCCUUACCCUGACCCUAACCCCUAAGCCUGACCCUGACCUCUGACCCUAACCACUAAGACUGACCCUGCUGAUGCACAGAGCGGUGAAGUCUUCAUUAUCUCCCCCUUCCACUUGUCGAAGCUCAGAGUCCUCGCGAGAGAACACGAAGAACAUGAAAUGGAUAAAGUGUUCGGCUGCUUCUCUUUCCUGGACUUUUAUAAAAGUUUGGUGUCCAAGUGACUCAGCACACCCAGACCCUAACAACGAUAUUUUGUGCAGAAUUCUGGGAUCAAAAUACAAUUUCAAAAAUAAUAUAUUUUCUGACAUCCUCCAAGAAAAAAAUUACUGGUUUCUUCCCUCUAAAAGGAUUUAGAUGGAAUAACAUCUGUGUUGAGAAUAUUGUGAAUAUGUUAAACUGACAGGCAGUCUCUAAGGCACUCUGCUUAUUAAUGUUCUGUGCAUAAAAUUAAAACUUGAAAUAUAUUUUUAAAUCCAUUUUGAAUCAUUUAAGCAAUUCUCCCGCAAAGAAACUAUUGUGUUGAAAUAAUAUAUUUGGAGCGAGGAAUAUGAAAGCUAUUAAAAUGUCUUAGACUCCCUGCCUUUCACGGGAAGAAGGGGGGAAAAUGUUCUCUCUCUUUGAUUUGAAACAUGCUCUGUAUAAAAUAUAUCCACCAAAAAAAAAAAAAAGUAGUUUGAAAUUACACUAAGAGUUUGAUUUAAACCCAAAAGGAGCCAAAGAACUCAAAGUUUCAUCUUUUUACUUCUGCCUUAAUGUGCCCAGCCCAGUCAUCGGCGUUCGGCAGGGGACUGGGAGGGCCCAGCUGGGGCGUGCACCUUCCCUUGGUCUGCACCACGCGCCCCUGAGAGCUAGAAACCCCAGGGGAGGGAGGAAGACAGAGGUGGAAAGACAGUCUUGUGCUGUUCCUGCCUUGUCCCGAGCUCUGCGAACACCCCCGCGAACGUUCAGCACAGUGAUCAGCAGCCAUUUGGAUGAGCGUGUGGUAAGAAGAGCAGGCUGUGGGAGCCUGGGUGGCUCAGUCGGUUGGGCGUCUGCCUUCGGCUCAGAUCAUGAU